rnacentral:rRNA from 1 species
CCUACGGGUGGCAGCAGUGAGGAAUAUUGGUCAAUGGGCGAGAGCCUGAACCAGCCAAGUCGCGUGAGGGAGUACUGCCCUAUGGGUUGUAAACCUCUUUUGUCGGGGAGCAAAAGCCGGACGUGUCCUGCUGUGAGAGUACCCGAAGAAAAAGCAUCGGCUAACUCCGUGCAAUCAGCCGCGGUAAUACGGAGGAUGCUAGCGUUAUCCGGAUUUAUUGGGUUUAAAGGGUUCGCAGGCGGAUUUUUAAGUCAGCGGUAAAAUCGUGGGGCUCAACCCCAUCCAGCCGUUGAAACUGGGGAUCUAGAGUGUGCGAGAGGUAUGCGGAAUGCGUGGUGUAGCGGUGAAAUGCAUAGAUAUCACGCAGAACCCCGAUUGCGAAGGCAGCAUACCGGUGAACAACUGACGCUCAGGCACGAAAGCGUGGGUAUCGAACAGGAUUAGAUACCCUAGUAGUC